rnacentral:tRNA from 1 species
GUGGCUGUAGCUUAAUGUGGAAGAGCGCCUUAUUUAGCUUAGCUAAGUUGGGAGAAUCCCGGUUCGAUUCCGGGCAGUCUGUA